rnacentral:rRNA from 1 species
GACGAACGCUGGCGGCGUGCUUAACACAUGCAAGUCGAACGGUAAGGCCCUUCGGGGUACACGAGUGGCGAACGGGUGAGUAACACGUGGGUGAUCUGCCCUGCACUUCGGGAUAAGCCUGGGAAACUGGGUCUAAUACCGGAUAGGACCACUGCCUGCAUGGGGGGUGGUGGAAAGCUUUUGCGGUGUGGGAUGGGCCCGCGGCCUAUCAGCUUGCUGGUGGGGUGAUGGGCUACCAAGGCGACGACGGGUAGCCGGCCUGAGAGGGUGACCGGCCACACUGGGACUGAGAUACGGCCCAGACUCCUACGGGAGGCAGCAGUGGGGAAUAUUGCACAAUGGGCGCAAGCCUGAUGCAGCGACGCCGCGUGAGGGAUGACGGCCUUCGGGUUGUAAACCUCUUUCAGCACCGACGAAGCGCAAGUGACGGUAGGUGCAGAAGAAGGACCGGCCAACUACGUGCCAGCAGCCGCAGUAA